CUGCGGCAGCGAACGUAUCACCCAAGACAACUUUGCACAGUUGACGAUUGACGGAGCGAAGCGACGUCAAAGCGUUUUACAACGUCGAGUUGGCUUAGGGAUACGUUCGUUGGGUAGGGGAGCGUUCUGUAAGCCGUUGAAGGUGGCCUGUGAGGGUUGCUGGAGGUAUCAGAAGUGCGAAUGCUGACAUAAGUAACGAUAAAGCGGGUGAAAAGCCCGCUCGCCGGAAGACCAAGGGUUCCUGUCCAACGUUAAUCGGGGCAGGGUGAGUCGACCCCUAAGGCGAGGCCGAAAGGCGUAGUCGAUGGGAAACGGGUUAAUAUUCCCGUACUUGGUGUUACUGCGAAGGGGGGACGGAGAAGGCUAUGUUGGCCGGGCGACGGUUGUCCCGGUUUAAGCGUGUAGGUGUGUGUUCCAGGUAAAUCCGGUUCACUUUAACACUGAGGCGUGACGACGAGGCACUACGGUGCUGAAGCAACAAAUGCCCUGCUUCCAGGAAAAGCCUCUAAGCCUCAGGUAACAUCAAAUCGUACCCCAAACCGACACAGGUGGUCAGGUAGAGAAUACCAAGGCGCUUGAGAGAACUCGGGUGAAGGAACUAGGCAAAAUGGUGCCGUAA
rnacentral:rRNA from 1 species